rnacentral:tRNA from 1 species
UGCGAUGGUGGCGGAAUUGGUAGACGCGCUAGCUUCAGGUGUUAGUGUCUUUACGGACGUGAGGGUUCAAGUCCCUCCUUCGCACCAC